GGCCUAACACAUGCAAGUCGAACGGUAACAUUUCUAGCUUGCUAUAAGAUGACGAGUGGCGGACGGGUGAGUAAUGCUUGGGAACUUGCCUUUGCGAGGGGGAUAACAGUUGGAAACGACUGCUAAUACCGCAUAAUGUCUUCGGACCAAACGGGGCUUAGGCUCCGGCGCAAAGAGAGGCCCAAGUGAGAUUAGCUAGUUGGUAAGGUAAUGGCUUACCAAGGCGACGAUCUCUAGCUGUUCUGAGAGGAAGAUCAGCCACACUGGGACUGAGACACGGCCCAGACUCCUACGGGAGGCAGCAGUGGGGAAUAUUGCACAAUGGGGGAAACCCUGAUGCAGCCAUGCCGCGUGUGUGAAGAAGGCCUUCGGGUUGUAAAGCACUUUCAGUUGUGAGGAAAAGUUAGUAGUUAAUACCUGCUAGCCGUGACGUUAACAACAGAAGAAGCACCGGCUAACUCCGUGCCAGCAGCCGCGGUAAUACGGAGGGUGCGAGCGUUAAUCGGAAUUACUGGGCGUAAAGCGCACGCAGGCGGUUUGUUAAGCUAGAUGUGAAAGCCCCGGGCUCAACCUGGGAUGGUCAUUUAGAACUGGCAGACUAGAGUCUUGGAGAGGGGAGUGGAAUUCCAGGUGUAGCGGUGAAAUGCGUAGAUAUCUGGAGGAACAUCAGUGGCGAAGGCGACUCCCUGGCCAAAGACUGACGCUCAUGUGCGAAAGUGUGGGUAGCGAACAGGAUUAGAUACCCUGGUAGUCCACACCGUAAACGCUGUCUACUAGCUGUGUGUGUCUUUAAGACGUGCGUAGCGAAGCUAACGCGCUAAGUAGACCGCCU
rnacentral:rRNA from 1 species